UACAGAGGUCUCAAGCGUUGUUCGGAUUCAUUGGGCGUAAAGGGUGCGUAGGCGGCGCGGUAAGUCGGGUGUGAAAUCUCGGAGCUUAACUCCGAAACUGCAUUCGAUACUGCCGUGCUUGAGGACUGGAGAGGAGACUGGAAUUUACGGUGUAGCGGUGAAAUGCGUAGAUAUCGUAAGGAAGACCAGUGGCGAAGGCGGGUCUCCGGACAGUUCCUGAUGCUGAGGCACGAAGGUCAGGGGAGCAAACGGG
rnacentral:rRNA from 1 species